rnacentral:rRNA from 1 species
AUGAUGUGGUUUAAUUCGAUGCAACGCGAAAACCUUACCCACCUUUGACAUGGCAGGAAUCCCGAAGAGAUUUGGGAGUGCUCGAAAGAGAACCUGCACACAGGUGCUGCAUGGCUGUCGUCAGCUCGUGUCGUGAGAUGUUGGGUUAAGUCCCGCAACGAGCGCAACCCUUGCCAUUAGUUGCUACGAAAGGGCACUCUAAUGGGACUGCCGGUGACAAACCGGAGGAAGGUGGGGAUGACGUCAAGUCCUCAUGGCCCUUAUGGGUAGGGCUUCACACGUCAUACAAUGGUCGGUACAGAGGGUUGCCAACCCGCGAGGGGGAGCUAAUCCCACAAAGCCGAUCGUAGUCCGGAUCGCAGUCUGCAACUCGACUGCGUGAAGUCGGAAUCGCUAGUAAUCGUGGAUCAGCAUGUCACGGUGAAUACGUUCCCGGGUCUU